rnacentral:lncRNA from 1 species
CCUCCACCUCCUGAGUAGCUGAAACUACAGGAUGCUUUCAUUGGAUUUGGAGGAAAUGUGAUCAGGCAACAAGUCAAGGAUAACGCCAAAUGGUAUAUCACUGAUUUUGUAGAGCUGCUGGGAGAACCGAAAGAAUAACAUCCAUUGUCAUACGGCUCCAAACAACUUCAGAUGAAUUUUUACAAGUUACACAGAUUGAUACUGUUUGCUUACAAUUGCCUAUUACAACUUGAUAUAGAAAGUUGGUACAGAUGAUCUGCACUGUCAAGUAAACUACAGUUAGGACUCCUCAAAGAUUGGUUUGUUUGUUUGUUUUUAACUGUAGUUCCAGUAUUAUAUGAUGACUAUUGAUUUCCUAGAGAGUUUUGUAAUCUGAAUUCUUUAUGUAUAUUCCUAGCUAUAUUUCAUACAAAGUGUUUUAAGAGUGGAGAGUCAAUUAAACACCUUUACUCUUAGGAAUAUAGAUUCGGCAGCCUUCAAUGAAUAUUGGUUUUUUUCCCUUUGGUAUGUCAAUAAAAGUUUAUCCAUGUGUCAGAACAGAUUUGUGGAAUUUGCAGUUCUGCCUCUCGGAUAUUGGAAUAUCCAAUAUUUCAGGUACUGUGUUGAAGCAUAAACAUCCCCCAGGCAAGAAACAGGCUUAAGACUUUGCUUAGUGCUGGGCACAAUGUCCUCACCCCAUGAGCCCACUCCCACUUCCUAAAGCCCUGGGACCUGGAAAGUCCUUUUUUUUACCUCUUGGGAUUUGUCAUAUAUGAAAUGUUACAGAGAUUGUUUUUUUU